rnacentral:misc_RNA from 1 species
GAUGAAGAACGUAGCGAAAUGCGAUAAGUAAUGUGAAUUGCAGAAUUCAGUGAAUCAUCGAAUCUUUGAACGCACAUUGCGCCCGCCAGCAUUCUGGCGGGCAUGCCUGUUCGAGCGUCAUUUCAACCCUCAGGCCCCCAGUGCCUGGUGUUGGGGAUCGGCCCAGCCUUCCUGUAAGGCCGCCGGCCCCGAAAUCUAGUGGCGGUCUCGCUGUAGUCCUCCUCUGCGUAGUAGCACAACCUCGCAGUUGGAACGCGGCGGUGGCCAUGCCGUUAAACACCCCACUUCUGAAAGUUGACCUCGGAUCAGGUAGGAAUACCCGCUGAACUUAAGCAUAUCAAAAGCGGAGGA